rnacentral:rRNA from 1 species
UCUAGUGGCGAACGGGUGAGUAACACGUAGGAAACCUGCCUCAAAGUCGAGGAUAACUACUGGAAACGGUAGCUAAAACUGGAUAGGAUAUAUUAAGGCAUCUUGAUAUAUUUAAAAGUCCUUCUGGGAAUGCUUUGAGAUGGUCCUGCGGCGCAUUAGCUAGUUGGUGAGGUAGUAGCUUACCAAGGCGACGAUGCGUAGCUGAGCUGAGAGGCCAAACAGCCACACUGGGACUGAGACACGGCCCAGACUCCUACGGGAGGCAGCAGUAGGGAAUUUUCGGCAAUGGGGGAAACCCUGACCGAGCAAUGCCGCGUGAAUGAUGAAAUUCUUCGGAAUGUAAAAUUCUGUUGUGAGGGAAGAAAGGUAGUAUCAGGAAAUGGGUAUUACUUGACGGUACCUUACUAGAAAGCCCCGGCUAACUAUGUGCCAGCAGCCGCGGUAAUACAUAGGGGGCGAGCGUUAUCCGGAAUUAUUGGGCGUAAAGCGUGCGUAGGCGGCCGUUUAAGUCUGUCGUGAAAGCCCACAGCUUAACUGUGGAGGGUCGAUGGAAACUGGAUGGCUUGAAUCUAGAAGAGGUAAGUGGAAUUCCAUGUGUAGCGGUAAAAUGCUUAGAUAUAUGGAGGAACACCAGUGGCGAAGGCGGCUUACUGGUCUAGCAUUGACGCUGAGGCACGAAAGCGUAGGUAGCAAACAGGAUUAGAUACCCUGGUAGUCUACGCUGUAAACGAUGAGCACUAAGUGUCGGACGUAAGUUCGGUGCUGUAGUUAACGCAUUAAGUGCUCCGCCUGGGGAGUACGGUCGCAAGACUG